rnacentral:lncRNA from 1 species
CAGAGAGAACGCAUGUUUUCCGGAUUUUAUUGCUAUGCAGAUUUUGUAAACUAUAUAGAUUGUAAUAAUUUAUUAACCACUUUUGAAACUUAUAAUACGUUUAUCUUGUGAAUCCCCUGGUUCAUUUGAUAAUUCACACACAGGGAUAAACCUAUCUGGGAUAGUUGUACCUUUUAGGGUAUUUGUUAACAACCAAUAGUGCAAU